UUUAUCUUUUCCUGAAGUGUGUCUGCAUUUUUUUGACAGACUCUUUUUAAAAUGUGUAGUCUUUAUGGAGCUCUUUUCUCACAGUAAGGAAUGAAAACAGCGGGCCGAGAUAAAUUUGGCUUGGAAUUAUGAGAAACAUUAUCACAGCUUUGGUCAGUGAAGAGGACCCUCUCCAGUGCUUCCUGUGUCUGCUGACAUGAUGACCCCAUUAAACUUGGCUUUCUGGGCCUGAAAGGUG